rnacentral:rRNA from 1 species
GUGCCAGCCGCCGCGGUAAUACCGGCAGCUCAAGUGAUGUCCCAUAUUAUUGGGCCUAAAGCGUCCGUAGCUGGCCGCGCAAGUCCGUCGGGAAAUCCACCUGCCCAACAGGUGGGCGUCCGGCGGAAACUGUGUGGCUUGGAACCGGAAGGCUCAGAGAGUACGUCCGGGGUAGGAGUGAAAUCCCGUAAUCCUGGACGGACCGCCGAUGGCGAAAGCACGUCGCGAAGACGGAUCCGACAGUGAGGGACGAAAGCUAGGGUCUCGAACCGGAUUAGAAACCCUAGUAGUCC